UUUUWUAAUUAAUGUAGUHUAAUUAUUGGGGUAGGUGUAGGKGUUCUUGAAACCUAAAGAAUUUGGCGGKGUUUUAGUCUUUUCAGRGGAAUUUGUUUYUUAAUUGAUAAUACCCGAUUUGUUUAACUUGAUUUGGUUUUCAGCUUGUUUACCGCCGUCCUAAGAUUAUUUUUGUUUUGAGGAUAAAAUUUUCUUGUAUUUAUAAUAAAARUUAUGUCAGGUCAAGGUGCAGUUUAUAAUUAAGAUGAAAAUGAAUUCCAAUAAUUUUAGUUAUUACGAAUAAUUAUAAUAAGUUGAGUUUGAAGGGGGAUUUGAUUGRAAAUUUAUUUUUGAUUUUUUKGGKGAUUGGGGCCCMAAAAGGGGUAYUWAUCCCCCGYCCCCCCCBUWUUUUUGAAGGRA
rnacentral:rRNA from 1 species